AAUUGCUGUGCCUCUGGGCCUGAGCCCUGCUGAGGCUUGAGCUGCCCUCUCUGCUGCUUGGCACUCCUGGCACACAGCAUCACCUGACCUCCUUGGAGUGCUGGGUUCCCUGUAGAAAUGGAUCCCAACACACCAUGGGAUGGUUCCCAUCCGUGCUCCUUUCUAGACUGGCAUCAUGACUUGUGAAACCCUGGUAAAGCACGGGUGGGACAGAGCCCUCACAGGCCCUGGUCUGCUCCAGCCACCCCUCCAGUAAUGUGUCACAGGGCCUGCAAAGGAGGUGGAGAGUGACCAGGAGCCCGCCCAGAGCUCCUUAGGGUCCGGUGCAGCUUUGGCCUUGUCCAUUGACACCUGGCUCCCAUGGCCUUACACGACCACCAUGCAGGCCCCAUUUCCCUAAGCCAGAGGGGGAUCCCAGCACAGCAUGGAAAUGGGCCUGAUUUUUGGUCUCUUUUAGAUUGGCAUCGUGACAUGGCUUAUAUGGAAAAACUGGUGAAAGACAGUUUGAAGGUUCAGGUGCAUGGUGGAGGUCCUCCUAAAUGGAAGAAUCAAGACACAGGAGACAAGAAAUCCUUGGAGGCAGACAAACAUCUGGACCAGAUGCUGAGCGAUCUGGAGAGACGCCGUGCAAUGGAUCAAAAGUCCGUGCAGAUGGUGCCACAUCCUACAGGAAGCAGUGGCUUUGUGCCAGCCACUGAUGCCGUAAAGGAGCAGAUGCCAGACAUGGGCACCGGCACAAGAG